UCAGAGCAGAGGGGACAGAAAAGUAGAUGGUCAGUAGAGAAUGGAAAUUCCCAAGUACCCAGCCAAUAGGAAAGGGGAUGGGGACCACCCCUGGCCAGGAAAGGCUGCAGUUCUUUCAUCUGCACAAUGACAAGGCCAGGCCUCCAUCCUGGGAGCGCUCCUGAGGUGACAAGGACACACUCCAAAUGACAGCAUGUGGGCCCCUGAAGAAAGGAAAUCUGCAAAUACACAAAUGGUACUCCAGGGGUGCAGCUCGACUUUUCUCCUCCUGCCUUUGCUGAGUUGUCCUCCCCAGCUGAAUCCUGAAGACUGGGAAGGGCACUGUGCCAGCAAGGUGCAGUCUGACACUUCACUGCUGACCAAACAAGGGCCCCUUCCUAUUAUUCAAGCUAUAGAACUGUGGGAAUAAAGGAAAAUGUGUCUGAA